UCGAAAAACGUCAUUUCUGCUCAGUAACAGUCUGAUCAGGGAUACCGACUUAUAAGCUACCCCAUUUCUCAAUAAAUGGAUCUGCUGUAUAGGUCUGCCGCAUGUCAGAUUGGAAGCGUUUGGGGAGACAAUAGAUAAAUUUGGCGAUGCAACAGUGGAUAAUAGCGGCUUCUCGUGGUGUGGCGGAGCUGUAGUUCCCUGAGGUCCUGGACGAAAAUUCUGCCCGAGUCCGAGCGUCGAAGACGAGUACGGUACUGUGGUAGCAAUAAAGGUUCUGUCACGAUAAAUUCCCGAGGAGGAAGUGGAAAACGCUAAACUGGAAACUGUAACCCCUGCAAUAAAAUAUUACUUGAUUGCAUGUUAUUAGGCAAUACGGUUUGCAGUUAACGAAUUUGGCCAUUUCGUACAGUUCAUUGAAUAUAUCUCAUAAUCGUCUAAACAAAAACAAGGGCAAAACCCUCUCUUCUGUUCUGUUGUUUACCACGGGUCUGGGCGAUGAUCAGAAGCAUGGCUACAGUCAUCUCUUCCGCCGAUUCGCAUUGUGGCUGAAGCAAUAAGCUACUGCUCUUCCUAUCGUUCUCUAUUUUAAGUAUUCUUAGAAAAGAUACUCGUUCUGUAUAUUUAUAGUGACGUAUAAUAUUGAAAUGUGAUGACUGUUAAUCUACAGAGUUCUGUGUAUCUCAUGCGGUAACCACUAGAUGCAUGCCGUCAUUGAGAACUAUGACAGAAACGAUUGCUUAGAUAAAUACAGGUAUACUAUAGACAAGCGAUAGACAGACAAACGGAAGUCCCUAUGCUUAAUCUACCCAAAUC